UCGUUCGCAUGGAUCAAGAGCUAUCGGUUUGGUUCACAGAGUCAAUGUGAGUAUGUAUAAGUUGAUGAUAAAAAAGAAGAUAUGACUUUAAAUCACUAUACAUAGUUUUGAGUAGCUGAGGAUGAUUUUGAUUAAUUUUGAAAAUAUUUAAACAAUUCAUUUUCUUCUUCUAAAAUUGAUAGUACAUAUCAGUGGCGGAUCUACUUGAUUCAAUAAGGUGUCAGCUGACACAUCUUAAAUCCCUAUAAAUAAAAAUUUGUUCAUAUAAACACUGCAAAAUCAGCAGUUCUGUUGGAAAAAUUCUCCUCUUGACACCUUCAAACCUCAGUUCGAAACCCAAUGAUGACACCUUUAAAUAUUUUUGACACCUUUUAAAUGCAUUCUUGGAUCCGCCACUGGUCCAUAUAUUGUAGAAAAUUGUUGGAUUCAUAUACAUAUUUGAGAAAAAAAUUAGUUUAACUAUAAUAAGCAUUAUUAAUUACUUUUAUCCCAAAAUUCAGUCAUAUAAAUUCACAUGAUAUAGUGUCAAAUGAAAACUAAAGCUAACCCAUGAAAGAAAUCUACAUAAAUAAAGUUACUCCAUCUCUUUAGAAUGUGAUAUGUCAUAUUUCUCGACCAUUGUUGUGAUGCCACAUCAGCUUGGUUUGAUUGAUUUUUAUUAGGAUGUUAGUGUCUUUCAUGCUAGGCCUUAGUCAAUAGACUUGACUCAUAAAACCUCUUUACUCGAGGUCCAUAAACAAGAUAACUGAACUAUAAUCCACUAUAAUAUGUCACCCACACUUCAACCUUUUAGCGCCAUCCUCAAUUACGUGCAAACAUACACAGCCAUAAUGUCAUUGGAAUUAAAAUAUAAUUUUGAUUUACAAAUUUAUGGGUUAUUACAUGUUUUCUUAAUAGCUUUGGUUUAAAUAAUAAGAAGAUGAGAAUUUUAGAAAAUUUAUUAUAUAUGUUUAAAAAAUUAUGCUUAGUGUGUCAAGUUGUUAGGAAACUUUUGAUAAGGUUGCAACAUAAGAAAAAUGAAAUCUUAUUAUAUAUAUACAUAUGAUAAUAUUAAUAUUAUAUAAUUUUGUUAUGUCUGCUUCAUAAAAAAAUUUCAUACAUAGAAGAAUAUCUUAUUCUUUAUUUUUAAUUUUACUUAUACAGAAAUAUUUAAUAUGACUUAAACUAAUAUAUAUAUUUAAGAAACAAAUCUAAAAAUAACUUACCAUUUAUUAUUGGAUAAGUUUGAAAAUGAUAUAGUUGGCUAGCUUUGUUUUAGUAUAUAAGAUACACUAAUGAUUGAAACAUCUUUCUUCCCAUCUAACUUCAGUCAAAUAAUUUGUAAGGCAUUCUUAUGGCUCAUCGAAGAGAUCCACACAACAUAAGCUAUUUCACAAAUCAAUGUAUCCUUUGCAAGAAAAAGAUAGAUCCAAAUAAAUCAGAUAUCUACAUGUACAAUGACGCUCCUUAUUGUACCGAAGAAUGUCGAGAAAAACAAUUGAAAGCCGAUGGAAUAAAUAUCAAGGAUGAUGGAAAACAAUUGAAGGCCAAUAAAGACAAGAAAAAAAUGACCGGUGAAAAAAAUAAAAAAUGAAAGAAGAAUCAAAAAAGAAGAAAGCUGAAAGUGGAUGUAUGAAAAUGUUGGCAUAAUUUCAUAUCGUUCUCUUCAUCUUUAUUUCUCUUUAUCUUUAUUAUUAUUAUUAUUAUUAUUGUUGUUGUUGUUGUUGUUGUUGUUAUUAUUAUUAUUAUCCAAUAAAUAGAGAUGAUAUUAUCUUUUUA